rnacentral:snoRNA from 1 species
GACCACCUGGUACUUACCACAGGCUGUGUUUUUGCACUUAUUAUAUAGAAAGAGGAGGCAAAGGAAACCUACAGCACAUAUACCACAGCCCAAGUCCUGUGCCUGGUCUGAAUUGUGAAUGCAGAGACAUGA